rnacentral:rRNA from 1 species
UGGGGAAUCUUGGACAAUGGGGGAAACCCUGAUCCAGCCAUGCCGCGUGAGUGAAGAAGGCCCUAGGGUUGUAAAGCUCUUUCAGCGGGGAAGAUAAUGACGGUAACCGGAGAAGAAGCCCCGGCUAACUUCGUGCCAGCAGCCGCGGUAAUACGAAGGGGGCUAGCGUUGUUCGGAAUUACUGGGCGUAAAGCGCGCGUAGGCGGACUGGUCAGUUGGGGGUGAAAUCCCGGGGCUUAACCCCGGAACUGCCUUCAAUACUGCCAGUCUUGAGUCCGGAAGAGGUGAGUGGAAUUCCGAGUGUAGAGGUGAAAUUCGUAGAUAUUCGGAAGAACACCAGUGGCGAAGGCGGCUCACUGGUCCGGUACUGACGCUGAGGCGCGAAAGCGUGGGGAGCAAACAGGAUUAGAUACCCGGGUAGUCC